rnacentral:rRNA from 1 species
GUUAGGAAUAUUGGACAAUGGGCGAAAGCCUGAUCCAGCCAUGCCGCGUGAACGAUGAAGGCCUUCGGGUUGUAAAGUUCUUUAGCCGAUGAUUAUAAUGACUGUAGUCGGAAAAUAAGCCCCGGCUAACUUCGUGCCAGCAGCCGCGGUAAUACGAAGGGGGCGAGCGUUAUUCGGAAUCACUGGGCGUAAAGCGUGCGUAGGCGGUUUUGUAAGUUAGGAGUGAAAGCCCAGGGCUCAACCUUGGAAUUGCUCUUAAAACUGCAAGGCUCGAAUCUCGGAGAGGAUAGCGGAAUUUCCAGUGUAGCAGUGUAAUGCGUAGAUAUUGGAAGGAACACCAGUGGCGUAAGCGGCUAUCUGGACGAGUAUUGACGCUGAGGCACGAAAGCGUGGGGAUCAAACAGGAUUAGAAACCCCUGUAGUCC